rnacentral:lncRNA from 10 species
AGAAAGAGAAACUUCCAUUGCUAACAUGAAGCCAAAUUGUCCUAAACAGGAGUCUUGAGACUUCUCUUCUUUUGGUGUGGAUUCCGGAACUCCUUUCUGAAGCAAGAGGCAAAUAUCUCUCAGCAGAGAAUGCCAAGACCAAUCACUUAACCAUGGCAAUCUUACUCAGCAUGGUAAUUCCCACCCUGAUGGUCCCAAGAUGGCUGCAGCAGUUUCAGCCAUGUUAUCCUAAUCCACCAACAUCUGGAGGUAUCUGUCUUUUCAAUCUCCAUCUAUUACAAAUGUAGGAUACUUUUACCAGAAGGUCCUCCUCUAGACUACUACUCAUGUUUCAUUGGACAAAUUUGGUCCCAUGGAAUUUCUUAAGUCAUUUACUGAUGAGGAAAGUGGAAUUAUCAUGACUGGAUUAGACUACCUAAGAUUCACCACUCCUGAGCCUGGAGAAAGAUAAUUUUCUCAGAGCAAACAACUGCAUAUGGCUGAAGAUAGGAAUGAACUAUAAAACAAAAUUGGAGUCCUCCAGGAAAGAAAGGGGGAAUUAAAGGGAAAUGAUUGUGUAGGCAAAACACAAUAGUCUCCAAUGCCAAAUAAACUUUGUUUUGUUACUCUCUCA